rnacentral:rRNA from 1 species
AAGGGCACCACCAGGAGUGGAGCGUGCGGUUCAAUUCGACUCAACACGGGAAAUCUCACCCGGCCCGGACACUGUGAGGAUUGACAGAUUGAGAGCUCUUUCUUGAUUCGGUGGUUGGUGGUGCAUGGCCGUUCUUAGUUGGUGUAGCGAUUUGUCUGGUUAAUUCCGAUAACGAACGAGACUUUGGCCUGCUAAAUAGUAUGCCUGUCCUCUGCUCUUGUGCGGGUGGCGGUAGUGGUAGCCUUUCGGGGUGAUACUGCCGUACGCCGGCGAGGGCUGCGCAGGUCUAUACUUCUUAGAGGGACAAGCGGUUUUUAGCCGCACGAAAUUGAGCAAUAACAGGUCUGUGAUGCCCUUAGAUGUCCGGGGCCACACGUGCGCUACAAUGACGGUUUCAACGAGUAUGGCGACCUUACUCGAAAGAGCUGGGUAAACUGAAACAUAACCGUCGUAACUGGGAUCGGGGCUUGCAAUUAUUCCCCGUGAACGAGGAAUCCCUGGUAAGUGCAAGUCAUUACCUUGCGCUGAUUACGUCCCUGCCCUUUGUACACACCGCCCGUCGCUACUACCGAUUGAGUGGUUUAGUGAGGACUUUGGAUCGGUUCCAGUGCAGUUGCUUCGGCAGCUCAACCGGGACUGAAAAGAUGUCCGAACUUGAUCAUUUAGAGGAAGUAAAAGUCGUAACAAGGUUUCC